UGGCGGCUCCUGAUUGGGCAUGGCUCGGGUUCUUUGAACCCGUUCACCCAAUGAUAGCUCCGCCCCUGCUUCCACACAAUCAUUUUUACCCAGGUUUUCCUCUCACCUUGCUUCCACACAACUGAAAACUGGGAGCACACAAAGCUCCCAAACCCAAGAAAGAAAGAAAGAAAGAAAGAAAGAAAGAAAGAAAGAAAGAAAGAAAGAAAGAAAGAAAGAAAGAAAGAGAAUCUGAGGCUGUGACUGGGAAUGGAAAAGUGGCAAAGGACAAACUGCUUAACCCUUUUCCUUCUUUCUAUUUUCUUGCUCAGAAUGUAUACCCCUCCCCCAGCUGCUUUCUCAUCUGCAGGAAGAAAGACGGGGUCUAUACUUUCCUCCGCUGCGAGAAAAACACUUCAGGGAGGGCAAUUUUGAGAAAACAAACAGUGGGAGGAAAAAGGGUUAAGAAACUGUCAGUCUUAAACACUGCAAUAUAGUUUCAGAAAAACGUUGGAGGCUAAUUAUGCAACUCCCACGUAUUGUCUAGUUUGGUUCUCGAAGGAGGCACAAUGUUUCGUUCAUUAGUGUUCAUAUUGUUACACACAGAAACAUUUUGUACAUUUUGGAUUAGGUUCUAAUUGCACUCUAAUUUCCAAGCUACUUCUGCUAUUAUAAAUGCACAGGGCUACUUUGGCAUCGUGGUGUACUUAAAUCUUCCCUCAGCCAUGAAUUCAAUAGGUAGCUUUUGGCAAGCCACUCUCAGCCUCAGUGCCCCCUCUCCCAUCUGCAGUAUGGGAAUAAUAAUACUGAACUCUCUAGUGGAGUGAUUGUAUUGAUUAUGAAAAUAAUGUAUUUGAACUGUUUUGACCCUUUUAAGGCAUGAUAUACAUGUAUAUAGAGUUGUAUCCUAAGAACUUCUUCAGCAUGUAGAAGAAGCACCUUUUAAACAUGGUGAUUCUCCUUAUUUAGCAGGGGGAGCAACUGGCCCUAUCUACCCCCAGCAUAGUACCUCCAGUGACUGUUGCUGGUGUCUAUCAUAUGUGGUGGUGGGGUUUUAGAUUGUGAGCCCUUUGGGGUCAGGGAUUCAUCUUACUUAUUUAUUAUUUCUCUAUGUAAAUUGCUUUGGAACUGUUUGUUGAAAAGUGGUAUAUAAAUAUUUUUGUUGUUGAUGAUGCACGAAGGGAGGUUGGAGGCCCUGAGGAACUGAUUUUCAGGCGCAACAAGGCAGUGGGGCUGCAGAAUGUGGGGCAAGCACCGCCUCAGACAAGUAGUUUGCCCCCAUUUCUGUUUCUAAUCUAAUAUGUGGGACACAGCUCAUCCAUCCAAGCUCCUCCCCUUUGCAUGAAUGGAACUUCUUUGAAUGGGAAAAUUUCUUAGAAUACUUCCCAUUGUGUGUGUGUGUGUGUGUGUGUAUGUGUGUGUGUAAUAAAUAAAAUGCAAAGUAAUUUGUCAUCAGUUUGUCAUUAUCUCUCCAUUGCCAUGGAUACAGUGUUCUAUUUAUGGGCCUUGUGUUUGCCCAACAGGUGAGAGAAUUCAACUGCAAAAAGAAAAGCUGGGAAGAUUUUAUUCCCAGCUUUCCUAUAGUUUGAAAAUAUAGACUAAUUCUAAGUUUUAGUAUCUAUUUCAGUAUUUAGAAAACACCCUGCCAUUUCUCACACAGAUUACAGUCUGCAUAAUUCUCCUUCUUCUUUAUGUCAUUAUUACCCAUAUCAAAUUCUUUACUAAUUUCCAACUUUGGAAGACUUCUCCAAGAUCACCUUUUCAAAAAUUAAAACAGAACAGGAUUUUCUGACUAAUGGAGGAGCUACAGUGUUUUCAGCAUUCUCUUUUGUGGAUACUAUAUAUUCGACAGAAUCAACCUAUAUUUCCACCUCAGAAUCUGAAGGACUUGUGAUUGUCUUGAGGAAAUAUUCAGGGAGUUUUAACGUUGUUUUAAGUUUUAAAUUGUUGUAAUGUUUUAACCUUGUUACGUGUUGUUUUUAUUGUUUUGUUGUAAACCGCUCAGAGAUUUGCAUUUGGGGUGGUAUGCAAAUAUAUUAAAUAAAUAAAUAAAUAAAUAAAAUAUUA